AUGAACGCUGGCGGCGUGCCUAAUACAUGCAAGUCGAGCGAACAGACGAGGAGCUUGCUCCUCUGACGUUAGCGGCGGACGGGUGAGUAACACGUGGGUAACCUACCUAUAAGACUGGGAUAACUUCGGGAAACCGGAGCUAAUACCGGAUAAUAUAUUGAACCGCAUGGUUCAAUAGUGAAAGACGGUUUUGCUGUCACUUAUAGAUGGAUCCGCGCCGCAUUAGCUAGUUGGUAAGGUAACGGCUUACCAAGGCGACGAUGCGUAGCCGACCUGAGAGGGUGAUCGGCCACACUGGAACUGAGACACGGUCCAGACUCCUACGGGAGGCAGCAGUAGGGAAUCUUCCGCAAUGGGCGAAAGCCUGACGGAGCAACGCCGCGUGAGUGAUGAAGGUCUUCGGAUCGUAAAACUCUGUUAUUAGGGAAGAACAAAUGUGUAAGUAACUAUGCACGUCUUGACGGUACCUAAUCAGAAAGCCACGGCUAACUACGUG
rnacentral:rRNA from 1 species